CAGUCGCCGCGGUAAUACAGAGGGUGCGAGCGUUAAUCGGAUUUACUGGGCGUAAAGCGUGCGUAGGCGGCUUUUUAAGUCGGAUGUUAAAUCCCUGAGCUUAACUUAGGAAUUGCAUUCGAUACUGGGAAGCUAGAGUAUGGGAGAGGAUGGUAGAAUUCCAGGUGUAGCGGUGAAAUGCGUAUAGAUCUGGAGGAAUACCGAUGGCGAAGGCAGCCAUCUGGCCUAAUACUGACGCUUAGGUACGAAAGCAUGGGGAGCAAACAGGAUUAGAUACCCCCGUAGUCCCUGUCUCUUAUAC
rnacentral:rRNA from 1 species